AGCAUUACUAGUAUUAGAGGCAAUGCCUGCCCAGUGACACCAGUUUAACGGCCGCGGUAUUCUGACCGUGCAAAGGUAGCAUAAUCACUUGUUCUCCAAAUAAGGACUUGUAUGAAUGGCCACACGAGGGUUUUACUGUCUCUUACUUCCAAUCAGUGAAAUUGACCUUCCCGUGAAGAGGCGGGAAUAAAAAAAUAAGACGAGAAGACCCUAUGGAGCUUUAAUUAACUAUUCCAAAAGUUAAACAAUUCAACCACAAAGGGAUAAAACAUAACUUAACAUGGACUAGCAAUUUCGGUUGGGGUGACCUCGGAGUACAAAAAACCCUCCGAGUGAUUUUAAUCUAGACAAACCAGUCAAAAUAACCAUAACAUCACUUAUUGAUCCAAAAUUUUGAUCAACGGAACAAGUUACCCUAGGGAUAACAGCGCAAUCCUAUUCUAGAGUUCCUAUCGACAAUAGGGU
rnacentral:rRNA from 1 species